GUGCCUGCUUCACCUGCACAUCUUCUAAACGUGAAGCGAUACAUAGAAGAUUUGAAUGAUCCUCACACAAGGGAGACCCACAAAUCCAAAAUCAUUUGUAUUUUCAA
ensembl:snRNA Gm24913 predicted gene, 24913